GAUGAACGCUGGCGGCGUGCUUAACACAUGCAAGUCGAACGGAAAGGCCCUGCUUUUGUGGGGUGCUCGAGUGGAGAACGGGUGUGAAACACGUGUGUCACCUGCCCUUGACUUUGGGAUAACUUCAGGAAACUGGGGCUAAUACCGGAUAGGAGCUCCUGCUGCAGGGUGGGGGGUGGAAAGUUUCGGCGGUUGGGGAUGGACUCGCGGCUUAUCAGCUUGUUGGUGGGGUAGUGGCUUACCAAGGCUUUGACGGGUAGCCGGCCUGAGAGGGUGACCGGCCACAUUGGGACUGAGAUACGGCCCAGACUCCUACGGGAGGCAGCAGUGGGGAAUAUUGCACAAUGGGCGGAAGCCUGAUGCAGCGACGCCGCGUGCGGGAUGACGGCCUUCGGGUUGUAAACCUCUUUCGCCUGUGACGAAGCGUGAGUGACGGUACUGGGUAAAGAAGCACCGGCUAACUACGUG
rnacentral:rRNA from 1 species